rnacentral:piRNA from 1 species
UAUGCAGACCAGGCUGACCUUGA